UGCGUUUGGAAAGAUUUUUCGGUUGGGGAUGGGCUCGCGGCCUAUCAGCUUGUUGGUGAGGUAAUGGCUCACCAAGGCGUCGACGGGUAGCCGGCCUGAGAGGGUGACCGGCCACACUGGGACUGAGACACGGCCCAGACUCCUACGGGAGGCAGCAGUGGGGAAUAUUGCACAAUGGGCGAAAGCCUGAUGCAGCAACGCCGCGUGAGGGAUGACGGCCUUCGGGUUGUAAACCUCUUUUAGCAGGGAAGAAGCGAAAGUGACGGUACCUGCAGAAAAAGCGCCGGCUAACUACGUGCCAGCAGCCGCGGUAAUACGUAGGGCGCAAGCGUUAUCCGGAAUUAUUGGGCGUAAAGAGCUCGUAGGCGGUUUGUCGCGUCUGCUGUGAAAUCCCGAGGCUCAACCUCGGGCCUGCAGUGGGUACGGGCAGACUAGAGUGCGGUAGGGGAGAUUGGAAUUCCUGGUGUAGCGGUGGAAUGCGCAGAUAUCAGGAGGAACACCGAUGGCGAAGGCAGAUCUCUGGGCCGUAACUGACGCUGAGGAGCGAAAGGGUGGGGAGCAAACAGGCUUAGAUACCCUGGUAGUCCACCCCGUAAACGUUGGGAACUAGUUGUGGGGUCCAUUCCACGGAUUCCGUGACGCAGCUAACGCAUUAAGUUCCCCGCCUGGGGAGUACGGCCGCAAGGCUAAAACUCAAAGGAAUUGACGGGGACCCGCACAAGCGGCGGAGCAUGCGGAUUAAUUCGAUGCAACGCGAAGAACCUUACCAAGGCUUGACAUAUACGAGAACGGGCCAGAAAUGGUCAACUCUUUGGACACUCGUAAACAGGUGGUGCAUGGUUGUCGUCAGCUCGUGUCGUGAGAUGUUGGGUUAAGUCCCGCAACGAGCGCAACCCUCGUUCUAUGUUGCCAGCACGUAAUGGUGGGAACUCAUGGGAUACUGCCGGGGUCAACUCGGAGGAAGGUGGGGAUGACGUCAAAUCAUCAUGCCCCUUAUGUCUUGGGCUUCACGCAUGCUACAAUGGCCGGUACAAAGGGCUGCAAUACCGUGAGGUGGAGCGAAUCCCAAAAAGCCGGUCCCAGUUCGGAUUGAGGUC
rnacentral:rRNA from 1 species